AAGUCGUAACAAGGUCUCCGUAGGUGAACCUGCGGAGGGAUCAUUACUGAGUGAGGGCCCUCGGGCUCGACCUCCCACCCUUUGUGAACACAACUUGUUGCUUCGGGGGCGACCCUGCCGUUCGCGCGGCAAGCGCCCCCGGAGGCCUUCAAACACUGCAUCAUUGCGUCGGAGUUUAAGCAAAUUAAACAAAA
rnacentral:misc_RNA from 1 species